CCACCCCAACCCCCCGCUUCCCCCUUCCGCUAGGCGGGGGACAGAGAGGCACAGGCCCAGGGAGCAGGGACUGACUUCCUCUUGUCCCAGAAUGAGCAUGCCUGCCCUUUGCGAGCAGGUUUGGGGCUCUCACGAAGAGGAAACCAAAACCAGUGAGAGAGCGAGAAGGCGGAGCGACCGAUCAAGGGCAGGGUGAGGUGCAAAACCGGCCGGCUCCCCGGGGAGCCCGGCAGAGGCGGGGGCCAUGGCGGAGCUGCAGCAGCUGCAGGAGUUUGAGAUCCCCACGGCCCGGGAGGCUCUGCGGGGCAACCACAGCGCCCUGCUGCGGGUCGCGGACUACUGCGAGGACAACUACGUGCAGGCCACAGACAAGCGGAAGGCGCUGGAGGAGACCAUGGCCUUCGCCACCCAGGCCCUGGCCAGUGUGGCCUACCAGGUGGGCAACCUGGCUGGAAACACUCUGCGUAUGUUGGACCUUCAGGCGGCUGCCCUGCGGCAAGUGGAAGCCCGAGUGAGCACACUGGGCCUGAUGGUGAACAUGCAUAUGGAGAAGGUGGCCCGAAGGGAGAUCGGUACUUUAGCCACCGUCCAGCGGCUGCCCCCCAGCCAGAAAAUCAUCGCCCCCGAGAGCCUACCUCCCCUGACGCCCUACUACAGGAAACCCCUCAACUUUGGUUGCCUCGAUGACAUUGGCCAUGGGAUCAAGGAUUCGAGCACGCAGCUGUCUCGGACCGGGACCCUGUCUCGAAAGAGCAUCAAGGCGCCUGCCGCACCCGCCUCCGCCACCCUCGGGAGAGCGCCCCGGAUCCCCGAGCCGGUGCAGCCCCGUGGUGCCCAACGGCAAGCUCUCCGCCGCCUCCUCUGCCUCCUCCCUGGUCUCGGCCGGCAGCGCUGAAGGGGUCGGUGGUGUCUCCGCGAUGAAGGGGCAAGCAGCACCCCCGCCCCUCCACCUGCUGCCUCCGACGUCUUCCUGCUGCCCCCUCCACUGGAGGAACUGUCCCUGCCCCCGCCAGGUAAGGAGCUCCGCCCUCUCCUCCUAGCUCAACUUUGGGGUCGUUGCCUCACCCCAACACUUCUCCCCACCCCUUGGAUCCAGCUGGGCCUCUCCGUGGAUGCUUUGUAACAGGCGUAAGGGGAAGGGGAAGCGAACGUAGUUGAGCGCACCUGC